rnacentral:rRNA from 1 species
UAGGGAAUCUUCGGCAAUGGACGCAAGUCUGACCGAGCAACGCCGCGUGAGUGAAGAAGGUUUUCGGAUCGUAAAACUCUGUUGUUAGAGAAGAACAAGGACGUUAGUAACUGAACGUCCCCUGACGGUAUCUAACCAGAAAGCCACGGCUAACUACGUGCCAGCAGCCGCGGUAAUACGUAGGUGGCAAGCGUUGUCCGGAUUCAUUGGGCGUAAAGCGAGCGCAGGCGGUUUCUUAAGUCUGAGGUGAAAGCCCCCCGCUCAACCGUGGAGGGGCAAUGGAAACUGGGAGACUUGAAUGCAUAAGAGGAGAGUGGAAUUCGAUGUGUAGCGGUGAAAUGCUUAGAUAUAUCGAGGAACACCAGUGGCGAAGGCGGCUCUCUGGUCUGUAACUGACGCUGAGGCUCGAAAGCGUGGGGAGCAAACAGG